rnacentral:tRNA from 1 species
CAUUGAAUGUCUGAUAUAAAAGAGUUAAUUUUUUAAAUUAAAAUAUAAUAACAUAUGUUAUUUUCAAUGG